CCUACGGGUGACAGCAGUAGGGAAUUUUCGGCAAUGGGGGGAACCCUGACCGAGCGACGCCGCGUGAACGAAGAAGUUAUUCGUAAUGUAAAGUUCUUUUAACAGGGAAGAAAGAGAAAUUUGACGGUACCUGAAGAAUAAGCUCCGGCUAACUACGUGCCAGCAGCCGCGGUAAUACGUAGGGAGCGAGCGUUAUCCGUGAUUAUUGGGCGUAAGGGGUGCGUAGAUGGCAUAGUAAGUCUUUGGUAAAAAUGCUGGGCUCAACCCAGUAGGGCAAAAGAUACUGCAAAGCUAGAGUAUGAGAGAGGAAAGUGGAAUUACAAGUGUAGCGGUAAAAUGCGUAAAUAUAUGUAAGAACACCAGUGGCGAAGGCGGCGUGCUGGGUCGAUACUGACAUUGAGGCACGAAAGCGUGGGGAGCAAACAGGAUUAGAUACCCUUGUAGUC
rnacentral:rRNA from 1 species